rnacentral:rRNA from 1 species
UGUAAGCGUAUACCAAAGUUGUUGCAGUUAAAACGCUCGUAGUCGGACUUUGGCAGUUCCGGAUGUGUGCACGUCGUGUGCGCACUUCGCGGGGAUUGCUUUUGUGGUCUUGUGUAGGAUGAGGCACUUUUAUUAGUGAACGUCCUCACGCAACCACUUUUUACUGUGAGAAAAUCAGAGUGCUCAAAGCAGGCAUUUGCCGUGAAUGUAUUAGCAUGGAAUAAUAGAAUAGGACUUGGUUCUAUUUUGUUGGUUUGUUGGGACUGAGUAAUGAUUAAGAGGGACAGUUGGGGGCAUUUGUAUUUCGGUGCUAGAGGUGAAAUUCUUAGAUUACCGAAAGACAAACUGCUGCGAAAGCGUCUGCCAAGGAUGUUUUCAUUGA